rnacentral:rRNA from 1 species
GAAUUCGCCCUUAGAGGGUGCUUUUGGCUCAGGAUGAACGCUGGCGGCGUGCCUAACACAUGCAAGUCGAGCGAAGCGCUUUACUUGAAUUCUUCGGAAGGAAAGUAUUGUGACUGAGCGGCGGACGGGUGAGUAUCGCGUGGGUAACCUGCCUCAUACAGGGGGAUAACAGUUAGAAACGACUGCUAAUGCCGCAUAAGACCACAGCACCGCAUGGUGCGGGGGUAAAAACUCCGGUGGUAUGAGAUGGACCCGCGUCUGAUUAGCUAGUUGGUAAGGUAAGGGCUUACCAAGGCGACGAUCAGUAGCCGACCUGAGAGGGUGAUCGGCCACAUUGGGACUGAGACACGGCCCAAACUCCUACGGGAGGCAGCAGUGGGGAAUAUUGCACAAUGGGGGAAACCCUGAUGCAGCGACGCCGCGUGAGUGAUGAAGUAUUUCGGUAUGUAAAGCUCUAUCAGCAGGGAAGAAAAUGACGGUACCUGACUAAGAAGCACCGGCUAAAUACGUGCCAGCAGCCGCGGUAAUACGUAUGGUGCAAGCGUUAUCCGGAUUUACUGGGUGUAAAGGGAGCGUAGACGGAGAGGCAAGUCUGAUGUGAAAACCCGGGGCUCAACCCCGGGACUGCAUUGGAAACUGUUUUUCUAGAGUGUCGGAGAGGCAAGUGGAAUUCCUAGUGUAGCGGUGAAAUGCGUAGAUAUUAGGAGGAACACCAGUGGCGAAGGCGGCUUGCUGGACGAUGACUGACGUUGAGGCUCGAAAGCGUGGGGAGCAAACAGGAUUAGAUACCCUGGUAGUCCACGCCGUAAACGA